ACCGGCGCACGGGUGAGUAACGCGUAUGUAAUCUACCUGUAACAGAGGGAUAACCCGGAGAAAUCCGGACUAAUACUCAUAGCACAUAUUAUUCGCAUGAAUUUUAUGUUAAAGAGACUCGGUUACAGAUGAACAUGCGUUCCAUUAGCUAGUUGGCGGGGUUACGGCCCACCAAGGCAACGAUGGAUAGGGGUUCUGAGAGGAAGGUCCCCCACACUGGUACUGAGACACGGACCAG
rnacentral:rRNA from 1 species